UGGAGUCCAAUUUCGGAUUUCUUAAGCCGAUUUUCCCCUAGCCCAAUCCCUUAACCCUAAGCCCCUUCCCCUGCACAAAAAAGACAAUGCACACAUACUAAAAGAAAGAAAGAAACGGACGAGAAACAGAGGCUCACCCACAGCCCUUCACCAAAAAAAUCUACCGCCUCCAACUUCUUAUUCUUUGAUCUUUCUGGUCAUUUUUUAAUGGUGUCACUGAUGAAUCUUUUGCUAUUAAAUGAAACAAUAUCCUUGUCUUUUAUUUUCCCCCAAUUUCCUUGCCAAAAUCACCACGAUUUUUUCCACCAACUCCUAAAUCUAGAAACUUCACCCACCAGCCAUACACUCACGUAGAUAGGGAGGGGAAGUCAUGCAUGAACAGGGAGAGGAGCUUUGGACAGAAUGAACACAAGAAAAUGUUUCUAUAUUUGGGAGUUAGUUCAUGGUUGAAUUCAAGGAAAAUAUGUUCUGUUUCUUCUGUUUAAAUUUCGGAUUUCAUUUUGAAAUUAUGGAGUUUGUUUGGGUCGUAUUUGAGUUUGAGUUCAUCGGCGAGAUUCGAGUUUCUCCGGUGAAGUUCGGUCAGUCUUGCUUGCCGAGGUUCUGUUUCUAAUCUUAUUGCUUGUGAGCUUCAAAACAGUCCGAGCUUUUGAAUUUCAAGUUCGAUUGAAGGUCCAUCUCGUUCUCCUUCUAUUAUUAUGCUAAUUGUGUGUUAUUUUGGUUGAAUUUCUUGUGAUUGAGUUACAGUUAGUCUUUUCUUUAAUUGAAUGAAUUUCAUUGGUUGAAUACAUUUGGGAUAUAAAUUGAUGAAAUAAUAUAUGUGAUGAACAGUGAUUAAUUUGUGAAUUAGACUUGAAAUUUAAGAUGAAGUAAUUUGGAAUUGGGAUUAACUUCACAUUCUUGUUUUAUCAAAUGGGUCGUGGGCUUAGACACUUAACUUGAAAGAGAGAUUAGAACAUGAAUAUUUUGUUUAGUUUUAUUUUAUUGCAUUGAUCGGUAGGAGCAUGUUUAGGCCGUCAACACUCGGGUAGGAAAACUUUAGGCUUUUUCUUUUCUUUUAUUCAAGGUGAGUGGUCGUUCCUUUAGUUUAUACUUAGGGGAAUGCCCCGUAGACUUCGUAAAUAUUUUUAUCCGGGGAAUGCCCCGUAGUGAAUGUAAAAUGAGGUCGAAGCAUCAUCGAUGGAGCAUUAGCUUAGUAUAGUAUAGAACUUUUAGUACUUUUAUUUUUAUUUUUAUUUUAUUAGGUGGGGACGACCUCGAGUCUCUUGUGGGUUUAUUUCAUUUUUUUGUAGUGUUUUUUCCUCAGUUAGAAUAUCCUUUAAAGCCAACUACAUCAUGUACGAACCGUACUAGUUACCGAACUCGGGGAAUGCUUAACACCUUCUUCCCGAGUCAAAUAAGCCCUCUUACCUAGAAUUUCUGGUGCAGUCAGUUUUUAGAGUCAAAUGUGUUUUGAGGAAAAAUUCAAUUUUUUUAAAAUGGUGACCUGACACACCGAAACCAAAUGUUAGGUGGCGACUCUGAGAAAAAUCUCUUUUAAACAAAUGUUUUGUCACUUUCUAACUGAAAACCCUUUUGAACUUCAAAAAUCACUUUAUCUAUUUUAAAUGGGUUAGUGAAGUAAAAAAGGGGGUGUGACAUGGAAUAUGGUUUGACAUAAGUGUGGGGUUUUGAGUGUUAAAUUGUAUGCGUUAAAAGUAUUUAGGGAGGUGUAGUCACUCUUAUAGCUAAAUGUAUCAUACCCGUCCUGCAGCCUACAGUACCACCAUUUAAAGUUCUAUUUGAUCCUUGACUGAAUGAGCUCAAAUUAGUAGAGUAGUACACUAUGGGCAAGCCUAUGGUUCAUCUUUUGUGGCAUAUGAAUGUUGUUUCUGAGAGUAGUGAAUUCUUUCUAUUUGAAGUUCCUAAUCGUUCUCAAUUUUUAUUUUGUGUGGAAUUACUCUUUAUUGUUGUGUGAGGGCACUUGAUUCAUGAAGGAAAGGCAAUACUGUUGACUUAUGUUAGAGUAAGUGACUGAGUUGUAAAUAAUUGAUGGUGCUUUUGAGUCAAUUUUUGAGGUGAAGAUGUUACACUAUUGUGCAUAGUCUAUUUUAAAUAUUCUAAGUGUAAUGAGUUUGAAGAGUUGCUUAAAAAGGUAGUAUCCAUAUAAUGAUUGGUUUGAUUGCUCGAGGACGAACAAUGAUUUAAGUGUGGGGUGUUGAUGGUAGGGUAUAAUCUCAUGUUUUAGUCACUUAUUGCACUCUAAUUCACUGUACUUUGAUUGUGUUUGAACUUUAAUUGCUAGUGUUUUGCACUAAUUGUGUAUUUUAUGCCUUGUAGGAGUGAUUACGAGCUAUGUAGAUGUUGUGGAACUAAUUCGAGCUAUUUGGAGCUUUGAAGUCUGAGUAAAAGCCUAAAGGAAUAAGUCGGGAUCGCGUUCGAGGGUCAAGGAUCACUUCUAGACGUCAAAAUUCAAGGAAAAUAAUCUGCUAAAAAAAUAUACUAGUGCGACACAUUGUGCGAUGCAUCAAUGUAAAAAUCUGUGAGAAAAUAGCAAAGUUCAAAGACUGGGUUUUUGGGUUAUGUCAGGAUAAGCACUAAUUCUACGCACUUUGCUACGCACAGUGCGACACAUGAAAAGCAAUAAGUUUGCAAGUUUUCCUAUUUCGGCUAGGAAAAGGGAAUUUUGCCUAGGCCCGACCCUACUUGGUAUAAAUACAUGGAAAACGGUAAUAUUUGGACUUUUGACACAUCUUAGACCUAAGGAAGCUAAGGAGGAUGUGGAGAAGCAAAAGCACAAGGAUUUCAUCAUUCAAUCCUCACUCAAAACAAGAGUUUGAAUCGUUUUAUGUUUUCCUCUUAUUUAAACUUUGUUAUGAUGAAUUAAUCCAUAUCUAUGGAGUAGUUCUAUUUAGGGUUUGAUGGAUUUGGUAUAUUGAUACUUGUUUGUGGAUAAUUAACUCUAGCUUUAUGUAUUGAAUCGUUUUGGAUGUUUUAACUAUUGCAUCUUUAUUCACUUGUUCAUGUAAUCGAGAGAGGCAUAACUUGUGAUAUUGUUGCAUUAUAUUUUGUUAGUUAAAGUCAUUAAUUCUUCUUAGUAAUCGGAAGAGGCUAGUUGAAUUGUUGAUUAAACUUAAUUAGAAGGAUAAUCGAGAGAGG
rnacentral:lncRNA from 1 species